ACAACGGCUGUGGAGGAUCAAGGAACUGCAUGGGAGAAAGUACAAAAACAAUGAAUACUGCAUGGGGAAAAAACUUGCGCCUGAAUUUGUGAAUGACUUUGAAGGCUUCGUACCCACGGAACAAAACAACAAUAAAGAAGACACGGUGAAGCUUGUUAACAAAGCUGGAUUCAAGGAGACCAGUGGUGUAGAUGUUAUGCCCAAGAGGUGCCACAGUUCCAGACGGACGAGCUGACGAAGGAAGAGAUCCUGCAGCUUGAUGCCUGAGGACUGGGGGAGGACGAUGAAGCCAGUGGCGGGCUGCCGAAAGAGAUGGAUACCGCAACACUUCGUCAGUAUUUUGCCUUUACUGAUGCGGCAGAUUCUUAAGCGGACGGAAACGAGGGUAACCUCGAAAGAGUUCGUCGGUUGAGAGCUCACAUGGGCGAUGCUGUUCAAUGUUACCGAGACCUUUGUGAUAAAAAGACGAGAGGUGCUGCCUUACUUCCCCCAACUCCUACUCCUACGGAUACCCAGGCUUCAACAUCGCGUAUCGAGAUGUACGCCACCACCCCCUGGUACCCUGUGUCAGUCAUCACCAUCACAGCGUCCAAAACGACAACGACAGCCUGUCUCAGUCACCCCCUCUGCUCUUCGUCACUCGAUUGUCAGCUUGUCAGGCAGUGAAUGUCCAGUAACGGGAUUGGCAGGCUGAGGCUGUCAGCCUCUGUGCGCAGCUGGGGCGCAUCUCGCUUCUCCGCGGUCUUCGUUAUGGCGGAAGGUGCUAACGUUAUCGUCCCGGGAAAAAUGUUCCCCGGACUGAGGAGAAAUCUCUGCGCAGUCGAGCGAAGGAUACCGAGAAGGACAGGUGCGGUACUGUUUAUGAAAAUAAGACUGUUGUCGUGAGGUGGGAGUAAGCGUAGAAACGUGCCAACGAAGGAGGCCGUGAGGCGAUUUUUAUUUUCGGCACAAGAGCAUCUCAGAGCCUCCGUGCGCUUAAGAACUGCGCAGAUGAGAUAAGCGGAGCUCUGUCUCUCUCGGGGUCUCUGUGUAUCCGCUUCUUCGGCCAAAACGAUACUAAAAAGCUUUGCUGGCGCGACGGUAUUUGGCAUAAAAGAGACGAACACUUGUAAACAAUGAUGGCGUGAAUUCUAUGCCAGGGUAGUGAUGAACAUCCUGGCCCGUCCAGAUAGCACAGCGCACUCUCACACUGAGACCAAGGCUUGAACACAGAUCAAUUCGCACAGAUUUACAGGAGUGUUGCAAAAACAGAAACAAAAAACUGGACAUUUACAGUAAAGACAUGGCUGUCCGGAGAGGACAGGCUCAGUGACCACAGCCUGGCCAUAGAAAGUGGACAUAGACCUGACUGUCCAGAGAGGACAGGCUCAGUAACACAGCCUGGACACAGAAACUGGACACAGACAGACCUGGCUGCUCAGUGAGGACAGGCUCAGUGAUAACAGCCUGGACACAGACAGACCUGGCUGUGCAGAGAGGACAGGCUCUGUGUCCACAGCCUGGCCAUAGAAACUGGACACAGACAGACCUGACUCAGUUAUGCCUUGUGUGUGAGAGAGAGUGGUGUGACAGAGAGACUGACUGUGUUUUAUUUUCACUUCUUUCACACCUGAGCUGCAGUAACGUGAAGGUGAGUUCAGCUCGGGGGUGUUAUUCCAGUUGCGGUACUGCAGGCCCUGCUACUGCCUACAGUCUCACCAGCAGCUCUGCAGCACUGACACACCUGUAUGAGCUCCAGCUCGCCUGCCACCAGAGUCACCUGUAAUGAUAAUGAUAAUGUUGCUUUAUUAGCCCUAUACAAUUUCUUGCAUUAGGAAUUUGUCUUUUCGCAUACCCCAGCUUGCUCUCCAUGAGACACACAGACAGGGAGAGAAGCUUGGGGUCAGAGCACAGGGUCUGCUAUUGUACACUGCCCCUGGAGCAGGUGGGGUUAAGGGCCUUGCUCAGGAGCCCAACAGAGUAGGAUUCCUCUGCCGGCUGCGGGAUUUGAACCGGCAACCUUCCAGUCACAGGCACAGAUCCUGAGCCACAGGGGCACUGCUUCGCCGCCUGUAUAUCGAUUCAUAUAGAUAUAGAAUAUAUAGAUAGUGAGUGUUAAUUUAUCAGGUAAUCGGUGGCGGGCGAGAGUCACGUUCUCACACAGGUGUCCACGAGCCCCGCUGUGGAAUAGAAGGUGUUCUGGCGUGAUGGUUGGAGCUGGGGUACGAGAGUAGAGUGCUUGUGUGUGUAACCGAAAUACACCUCAUGAUCCGUCUGUGCACUCAGGCCUCCUGAGCCGCCAGAAGA
rnacentral:lncRNA from 1 species